rfam:TNVERIFIED: Cronobacter phage S13, complete genome.
GGGGUGAUCGUCUAGUGGUAGGACGCUUAAAGACGCAAACUGAUAAGUUUGUAUUCAGCAUUUAACUUUCCAUUCCAAGGAAGAAACGCGUGGUUCGAAUCCCGCUCACCCCG